UUUGUCUUAUAGUAAUAUUUUGAAAUUAAUUUUUUAGUUAAAAAGCUAAAAUUAACUUUAAAGACAAGAAGACCCUAUUAAGCUUUACAAUUUUAUAUUAUUUUCAAACUAAUAAAACAAUUGUUCUGCUGGGGCAGCAAAUAAAUAAAUAUUAUUUAUAUAUUGUGAUAAAUAAAUCUAGAAAAAUCAAUAAUUUAUUAAAUAACAACAAGUUACUAUAGGGAUAACAGCAUAAUUUUUUUAAAGAGUUCUCAUCAACAAAAAAGUUUGUGACCUCGAUGUUGGAUU
rnacentral:rRNA from 1 species